AAAGUCAGCACGUGGCGGAAUUAUGUCCCACAGGUUGGACACCUCCUCCUCACUCAGCCUUGUUCUUUGAGCUACGAUGGCUUCAUGAAGUGGGUCAUCAUCAUCUUCAUCGAGUGGGUCCUCAUUAUCUUCAUCAUCUUCGUCAUCUUCAUCAUCUUCCACCAGGUUGAGAUAAAUGACAGCCAACUUGGGUCUUUCUGCUCGGAAGGAGAAGCUGAUCAACUCACCACCAGUAAGACGCAUGCGAGCGACGAAACGGGCCCAUCCAUCUCCUCCAAUCUGCGACAUAUUGCGUCCUUUCUCGACCUCCAUAGUGUACGGCCCCCCAGGAGCCUCAAAUGUCACAGUGUCUCCUGUCAGCUUGUUGAAUUUCAACCUCACAUUGCAUG
rnacentral:rRNA from 1 species